rnacentral:rRNA from 1 species
CCAACAGGGAUUGCCCUAGUAACGGCGAGUGAAGCGGCAACAGCUCAAAUUUGAAAUCUUGGCCUUCGGGUCCGAGUUGUAAUUUGUAGAGGAUGCUUUUGGUGCGGUGCCUUCCGAGUUCCCUGGAACGGGACGCCAUAGAGGGUGAGAGCCCCGUCUGGUUGGAUACCAAUCCUCUGUAAAGCUCCUUCGACGAGUCGAGUAGUUUGGGAAUGCUGCUCUAAAUGGGAGGUAUAUGUCUUCUAAAGCUAAAUACCGGCCAGAGACCGAUAGCGCACAAGUAGAGUGAUCGAAAGAUGAAAAGCACUUUGAAAAGAGGGUUAAACAGUACGUGAAAUUGUUGAAAGGGAAGCGCUUGUGACCAGACUUGGGCAUGGUUAAUCAUCCAGCGUUCUCGCUGGUGCACUUGGCCUGCCCAGGCCAGCAUCAGUUCGGUGCGGGGGAUAAAGGCUUCGGGAAUGUGGCUCCUCCGGGAGUGUUAUAGCCCGUUGUGCAAUACCCUGCGCUGGACUGAGGUUCGCGCAUCUGCAUGGAUGCUGGCGUAAUGGUCAUCAGCGACCCGUCUUGAAACACGGACCAAGGAGUCGUCCUCGUAUGCGAGUGUUCGGGUGUUAAACCCCUACGCGUAAUGAAAGUGAACGCAGGUGAGAGCUUCGGCGCAUCAUCGACCGAUCCUGAUGUUCUCGGAUGGAUUUGAGUAAGAGCAUACGGGGCCGGACCCGAAAGAAGGUGAACUAUGCCUGUAUAGGGUGAAGCCAGAGGAAACUCUGGUGGAGGCUCGCAGCGGUUCUGACGUGCAAAUCGAUC